rnacentral:lncRNA from 1 species
CUUGCCAUGCUUGCGUUUUGAUUGGACCAGAUCGUUUGACCGCGCUUUGACUUGCCACAUAGAUUUAAUGAAACGCUGAGUUUCAUUCAGCGCGCCAGUCACAUUUGAAUUUGCCUUGUGUUCGAUUCCGGCCGGGGCAUGUCUUUCAAAUGCUCCAUUAUAUUUCCUCACUAUCCCUCAUAUUCCAUGCCAUGGCUUCACAUGCAUUUUUUUAUUUUUUCAUCAACUUGCAAAAUUCAUAUUAAUUUGAAAAAUCAUCCAAAAAUUAUGAGAUUUUUU